GAUGAACGCUGGCGGCGUGCCUAAUACAUGCAAGUCGAGCGAACGGACGAGAAGCUUGCUUCUCUGAUGUUAGCGGCGGACGGGUGAGUAACACGUGGAUAACCUACCUAUAAGACUGGGAUAACUUCGGGAAACCGGAGCUAAUACCGGAUAAUAUUUUGAACCGCAUGGUUCAAAAGUGAAAGACGGUCUUGCUGUCACUUAUAGAUGGAUCCGCGCUGCAUUAGCUAGUUGGUAAGGUAACGGCUUACCAAGGCAACGAUGCAUAGCCGACCUGAGAGGGUGAUCGGCCACACUGAAACUGAGACACGGUCCAGACUCCUACGGGAGGCAGCAGUAGGGAAUCUUCCGCAAUGGGCGAAAGCCGGACGGAGCAACGCCGCGUGGGUGAUGAAGGUCUUCGGAUCGUAAAACUCUGUUAUUAGGGAAGAACAUAUGUGUAAGUAACUGUGCACAUCUUGACGGUACCAAUCAGAAAGCCACGGCUAACUACGUG
rnacentral:rRNA from 1 species